rnacentral:lncRNA from 1 species
AAUAUAGCUCAGUACUUGUAUUAUUUAUUUAUUGUAUUUUUGCUAAUAUUUAUCAAGGGAUCAAAUCAUUUGGGACCCCACUGUAUAUAUAAUAAUAAUAUAUGCCAUUUAGUAGACGCUUUUUUUUGCAUCAAUUUCACAUUCCUUUGUAUAUAGACUUCAAUGUAACAGUUUGAAUGCAACGGUUAGUAAUGGAACAGUUUGAAAGCAACAGUUUCAGCAUUAUUCUACUAUUACGCACGACAGUUUGCCCAAACUAUUUUGAGGUCUCCAAAGUGUACAUAACCUAGCCCCCGAUUGGGGCGCAUCUAACCUAAACCUGUCCACGUUGCUCCCCUGCACCUAUAAUCUCUCCAACUCCAACGAAACCGAAAGAAACCAAAAAAGUGAUUGAUUGAUCGUGGAAAUUGUCCUCGACUUGAUGGGACUGGAGUUUGCUGAAAUCCUAAGCCCACCGCUAGUAACCCAUGACAGAGAGGGAAACUAGAGACGCCAAUAUGAUUUCGGCGAUGUUGGGUAACCACUGAACUUCGGGAAAAUCACUGCACAUCCUGGGUCCGCUUGCCAACGCGUUGAGCCAUGAAAGCGUUUUUAAACACCCAAAUAGGCUACUAACCUUUUGGAUACAAUGUACACAGCCCGAUCACGAAUAACUCCCGCAGCUCCUGCUGGCUCCCGAGGACACGGAUUUGCUUGUCUGAAGAUCAUCCUAUAGAAAAUGAUAAAUGUAUGUGAACGGGCCUGUGCUCCGUAGCGUCGUGGUGUUUCUGCUGUUGGGUGUCUCCUACAGUAAGCGCAGGUGCAACUACACGGAUAUACUCAGCACGUACAGAGAACUAAUCUUCGUUGAACUUCAGAAUUUGCUGCAGCACGUGUUGCGCUCCAUCCAUGGUAUGACGGAGCAGUUCCUGUGCCAGGGCUGGGACCAGGGACACGGGCGGGGCAGCAGACAGCAGAGGGGCAUGAAGAAGCCAGUGGAGAUGAUGGCAGUGCUGAUCAGACAGAACUGCAGGCACACUGACCUGGUGAGGAGACAGAAGAGAACAGCGCCGUGUGUGACUGCCCAGAGGACGAAGGGAAAGAAUAGGACGAGGAUGAGACUCAUCAGGGCACUGAUAAACUGUUGGCAGAAGCUGCAGAGUUUGUACACACCCACAAAAUAAUUUGAAAAAAAAGUUAUAUUUUUAUCAAAAUUGUUUGAAAAAAGCAUUUAUGGAUUGUGUUUGGUUCUUAUUUGGUAGAGUAGAAUGACAGUUUGUAUGUCAGGAAUGGCCCUCUGUUUAUGACCUUUUACUUCUUGUCUGUACAGUCCCACAUGUAUAAGCUAUAGGUCACCAUAGAUCAGGGAUGGGCCACUUUGAUGUGGGCCGGGGCCACAAAGAAAACAAACUGAUCAUGCUUACUAUAAGUUUAGAUAGCUAGCCGCUAGACUAACUUGCCAAUCUAAAAAUGUUUUAAAGACUUGGGCUAAUUAAGUGACUGCUGAUGCACAACCACAUGUCGAAAUUGCACCUUGUGUAAUCUAUUAUUCUAACUCUUAUCAGUAAGUUGAGACCCGACUGAGUUGCCCCAUUAAUUAUGGUUGUUAGAGGAUGGUUUUACAAUGCAGUGAAAAUAUUUACUUGUAAUACCUUGGUGCACACACAUUUUAUAACUCUUAGCUAUCUCACAAUCCAGAUAUUGUUUUUGUGAAACCGAUAGAUACAUUUGCUGUUCUAUGAAAUGUAUUCAAGAUGCCCACUGAUAAAGGUUUCAUAAACUGCACCAUUGGUUGUUUAUUCCUGUAAUGAUCAAAACAUGGGCCAUUACUAGAUACCUAUUGUUUAGUUCUCUUGUUAUAAGAAAUUGUUAUCAAAAUGGACAAAAACAAGAAACUUCCCAAGUUGCAUAACUUCCAGAACGUUUCUCAUUCUAGGUUUUUGUUUCUGUGGGGAAAGAUAUUCCACAUGCACAGUCAUGUUAAUAUGAACUCUGUAGCACUGUUAGUGCUAUCCUGGAUCCUUGGGACGUCCAUACCAUAAACUUUUAUUUAAUUUUUUUAUUUAUUUAUUUCACC